rnacentral:rRNA from 1 species
AUACGGAGGGUGCAAGCGUUAUUCGGAAUCACUGGGCGUAAAGGACGCGUAGGCGGGUUGGCAAGUCAGAUGUGAAAUCCUACAGCUUAACUGUAGAACUGCAUUUGAAACUGCUAACCUAGAGUAUGGGAGGGGGAGAUGGAAUUAGUGGUGUAGGGGUAAAAUCCGUAGAUAUCACUAGUAAUACCGAAAGCGAAGGCGAUCUCCUGGAACAUAACUGACGCUAAGGCGUGAAAGCGUGGGGAGCAAACAGGAUUAGAAACCCUAGUAGUCC